rnacentral:tRNA from 1 species
GGCUUCGUAGCUCAGUUGGUUAGAGCACCACCCUGUCACGGUGGGGGUCGUGGGUUCAAGUCCCAUCGGAGUCG